rnacentral:pre_miRNA from 1 species
AGCUUUUCGAAUCCGUGCUGAGAUUUCGUCAGACACCAACCCAUUAGGGCUGAUCAGACUUUUAAGUGAAGUU